AAGACCUCGAGAAGUGGUUGCACCUAGCUCGCUGUGAGCCAACAGAAGCUCAUGCAGAACAGGAUCAAUGUGGCCAAGAAUCUGGAAAUCUGAGGGACCAGAUUCAGUCAUUGAUUAAACUUCAUAAAAAAGAGAUAGAACUAAGCCUGGAAAAAGAGCAGAACAAGCAAUUUUGGGAUCAGAACACAGAAAACAGCAUCACCAUGGGCCAGCUCAGGAGGCAGCUGGACAACAAAAACCAGCAGGUGCAGGGCAUGGAAGAGGCAGUGAAGGAAAUGAGGACAGAGCAUCACAGGCAAAUGUAGUGCCAGGUUGCUGAAUUAAGG